rnacentral:lncRNA from 1 species
AGUGACCUGAUUUCUCCAUUAAAUGUUGGGUUUCUGCAAGCAGAAUCAUGUGUAGUGUGUUAACUGUGGUGAUUGGUGAUUACGACAGAACAGUCAAAUUCGAACAUCAUAGCAAGUAGGGGAAAGUAUAUUUUUCAUCCCUAAACUCACUCGAAAGUAUAGAAACGGUCCCUUAACUUCAAAACCAGCAAAACUUAGUCCCUCAAUUCUUAAACCGGAUAACUUGAGUCCUUUGAUUUAACAACAGUGGUUUUCACGCUGACUUGCAUGGUUUCACCAGUCAUCGCCCAUGUGUGGCCGAGCAACAACGGCAAACCGGGCGAGCCGCCGAAGCGGGUGCGGCUGAUGGCGCUGGAGCGGCGACAAGCGUGCGCCCCGCCGUCGCGCAGUUGUCCGCGCCAUGUCCACGACCCACAACACGCAAGUGAUGGAUUUGAACGAGAACUGGAUGACGCGGGGACAUCAACGGCGCGGUCGCCGACAAUUGCAGAGGCAUACCAUGAGAACGAGGCGGCAACACGAGCAUCAGUUAGUUGUGACUGUGUUACGAGUUCGCCGUGAAGGCCAAGCCGCCGCGUGCCUUAGUGCUGCUAGCCGCGACAGCCCCGCUCGUCCCACAAAACUAACUGUAGUGCAGCUCCCUGGCCUCCUGCACCCUUUGCGUGCGCCGCCGACACCCACGCAAGCUCCAUGCCUACCUCUUCCUCUUGUUGCCUGGUGGCGCCUACUACUCGACGAAAUGCCCAGCCGAGUUAAAAUGGAAAGGAAGAAGAUUCCCACGUGGGUGCUGACUGGUCAAAACCAUGCCAAGUAAGCAUGAAAACAGCUUUUGUUGAGUCAAGGGACUAAAAUAAUCCGGUUUGAGAAGUUGAGGGACUAACAUUUGCCGGUUUUAAAGUUGAAGGAACGUUUCUAUACUUUUGAGCGAGUCCAGGGACGAAAAAUAUACUUUUCCCUAGCAAGUAUGCACAAAACAAUGUGUAUCAACAAUAACAGUACAAGUUGAAAAACUGGAAUUAUUGAGUGCACCCUUGGUGCUAUUUUAAAGACGUACUAACCUAAUUCCCCUUGUUUGCUCCCUGAGCAUCGUCGAAGAUUGAACAUUCUACCAUCUAUGAACCAGCCAGUUCCCCUGGUUUGAAGCAACCUGCUAUUUGGCAUCUCUGAUAAUAUAUGUACAAAACAAUCAAAAGAUUUCCCUAGAUAUUUGUAAUACAUAUUAGUUCUUAUCUUGUAACCAAGCAAUAUGCAAGAUAAAGUUUCUUUAGGAUGACCAAGUUAUAUGUACAUUGUAGCAGAUACCAAACUUAUUUUUAAACACUCAUAGAAUGGCACGAUAUCAUAGACUUUGUUUGUACAAAAAAAAUUAUAUUGUAUCUGAUGUCUGAUCUCAGUAUUGAUCUCGGAUUACCAGUUGUACUUCUGAAUGAAGUCCCAAGUAAAUUAUUUGAAGCCCAUGAAGCAACCACAUGAAAAAAAAGCACUCAAGACGAUGCUUUAUCUUUAAAUCAUACCACCUCUAAUCCCCUAGAUAUCUUAUGGACCUUGCUUUCUCACACAUGAACAUUGCCAACAAAUACACAUACCUAAUCCAUAUGCACUCUAGCAUAAAAAUGUAUGUUUUGCUAGCUCAUCCAUGGUACUUACACAUGCAGUUAUCACUUCAACGUUCUUUGCAACCUAGUUAAAUGUGGAUGGCUGGAUAAACAUAUAAGAAAGUAUUUAUAUUUCUACAACGUUGCUGAAAGAAAGGAAAUCCUACAAAAUUGAAGACAAAAGCAAAAUGUAGAUGAUAGAUACUUACUAAUAUCAUCUUAUCCUAUGCGUUCGAUGCAGCAGCAUCUUUGUGGCAUCGGUGAAAUUUCCCUGCAGCAUAAGAUCUUCAUAACGCCAAAACAAAGAAAAGCUUCCAAGCGUUUCCAAAUAUAAAAAAUUAACAAUCUUCAAAUCAAUUAAAGGAGUAAUCAUUUCAACCCCAGGAGGCUAGAAUGAGGAGCCCUUGUUGAACUCAUUUUUCACGAGAAGAAAAAAAAGAAAAGGAACAUAUAUAAGAUAACAAGAAAAUCUACAUCUCCUGAAAUUAAGUAUACAUACAACAAAAAUAUAUGUUAUUUUACCAAAACAGUGAGAACAAUUACUUCCUUGUGAUUUCUAAGAAAAAAUUUCCUGUUAGUUUUUCCUCAAGCAAUUAACAAGAAAUGGUUAGAAAAGUCACAAUAUAUUCAAUCUUAAUGUGACAUGUGCAGGUAUGAUCAUUAAAAGUACAGACCGACUUGAUCAUGCAGAUACUAAAGAAAGAAAACAACCCUGCUUAUUCACCAAUCCUAGAACCCUACAAUGAAAGUUUCACGAAAUAAUUACAAAAACCAACAGUUCUUCAUGAAAUUUACACCUGACAUCUACUAUGGUUUUAGAAAUAUUUCACUAGGUAAAAGGUAGAGGAUGUAUGCAUAUCUUUUGAGCUACUCUCAACCUCUUAAUGUGACAUGUGCAUGUGUGAUCAUUAAAAAUACACAUUGGUCAUGUAGAUAUUAAGGAAAGAAGAAAAAAAUAUAACAUUAGCAGAUCAUUAAUGUUGCUAUUACACAAUAUCUACAGCGGCUUGUUGUUGCUCUUUGUGUCUCCUAUAAAAUUGAAAGUUGUUUUUCGAAUCAAAGCUUAAACCAUGAACGUUGCUAGACGAACAAAAUUUUGAAUCGACAAAGCAAAAAAUAUUCAAGACCUUGCUGGAUUAAGAACCACUAAUAUCUAGAUAAGGUCAAAUGAUAUAAGUAGACAUGAGGUCAAAACGAUCGCAAUAAUAGCUCCGAAAGUAGAAGAAUGAUACAAGAACACAUCAGUCAAAUGAUAUAAGAAGACAUGAACAUUGUAGCUUACUGAAGAUUGUCCCAUUUUCCUGCCUAAAGCUUGGUCCUGACCUC